AAACACUUAUAGAAGAAGCGCAUAAAAGAACCAGACGUUUUUUAACCCACGGACUAACGUUUGCCGUUAAGUUGGAGGAGGAUCACCCUCGCUGUUACGGAUAUCGUUAGCGAAAGAUCCAACACAAGCUUUGCAAACCCCUGCAACCAUUCUCGCAGGCGACAAUGAUAAAUUUCUUCAUCAUUUUGACAAUGUCACGCGUUCGACUCCUUGAAGCUAUAUUCCGUCUGAUUUUAUGAUUUUCUUGUUUAGGUUUUCUUGAUGGUUCCACAAAUUCAUGUGGGGUUGAAAAUAUAGUGUUAUAUCUUGUUUUAGCUGCAAAGUGACAUUGCAACAAAAUGUUCAAAGGAGACAUGGGAAGGCCUCCUUCAUUGUUGAGCCUCUGCCUACAGACUGCAAUUGAUAAUAUUCGAUAUCUUGGUGAUGUGGGAGAGACAGACUCAGAACUAUUGAAGGUUAUUUUGGUUCACUGUACUCCAGAACAACUGAGGUUCAUUGAGGAUUCAACUGAAGGAAGAGACUUGAGUCCAGUCACAGAUAGCCUCUGGCUGAACUUUUAUGAGCGUAAAUUUGGGGAAGAAAAUGCUAAUUUGGUGAAGAAGAGGAUGGGGCAGAAAGGGGUCUGCUUCAAGUGGAAGUUACUUUUUGAAGCAAAGGCUGAAGAGCAGGAGAAGCAACAGCAGAAGACACUUGAGAAGUCAUUAAAUCGGCUUAAGCAAUUAUAUGCAAAAGCUGAUCAAGAAAAGCAAAAUAAGCAGAUACAAAUAUGUACAAAGGUUCCACCUACAAAAGGGAAAAGGAAUUAUGGAGGUUUUGGUUCGAGUGUUGAUCUCUCUAAUGUGAAGGGUCGGCUCAUGAAAAAGGCAAAGAUGGAAUUUAUUGCUUGUCGUGAAGCAAGAGCACAGCCAACAAGAUUGAACAGAAUUUCAGCUCAGAGCAGGGUACCCUUAGGGAGGGUAUCAAAUGUGUCCAAGAGUGCUUCAUCAAUGACCUCUAGUGAGGCAAUAAGCUCAAAUUUAAAUACAGCUUCAACUAAAUCCCCCUUAACGAUGACUAAAAGUCAUGUUAUUAACUCAAAUAUGUCCACAGCUACAGCUAAAAGUUCUUCGUCGGUAAGACAUGGGAUGAACUCUAGUGUUUCUACAGCUUCUCAGCAUAGAACAAACUCAAGUUUGUCUACAUGUUCUCCUAAAAGCUUUUCAACAACAACCUCAAGUGGUCUGGCAAAAUCAAAUGUAAUAGGUCGGGGUUCAAGUAUCAGAGCUAAGGAUUCCAUGGUAGAGCCUAAAAGGAAGAUUUUCUGAUUGGAGUCUGGAAGUGUUUUAUGGGCUUUCAAAAGGGACUAUAUCUCGUGAGUAGUGCUUCUUUGGUUUUUGAUAUUGUGGACCAUUGCCUUCUUGUUUGGUAUGUCAAAAUUUUCAUGACCUAACUGCAUCCACUGAUGGCAAUAAAUGCUGCUCUUCAAGAAGUUUUUCCCCAUGCAUCAAUUCAAAUUUCACUAUAUACGGAGUAUCAAUGCUAAUUGGAAGAAUUUGUUAUCACAGAUUCACAAGCAUAGUAAUCAAUAAACUUUAUUUAUGUGUAUUAUAUGCUACUUUGAACGUGAUCAAUCGAGAACACCUUUUGAUCUAUGUCUUCUGCAAAUACAAUGUAGAUGCCAUUGUACUGCACAAGUCGAAGGGGAGUAUUCGUAAAGCUCAGUCAUCAUCAUGACAAUUAGUUUCCACGAGUAGGCAUAAUCACAUGGAAAGAGAUCCCUAAGGCACAUCGUCCCUUUUCUCACAAUAUAUGGGUAUAGGGAGGAUCAAGCUUAAAGGCACAAAGAGAACAUGUGAUUGUUUUAAUGCCCAGUGGAAGCUUCUGACAACGAACAAUUUGUUGUGCAUUAUACAGCAGGUCUGGAUUAUGUUUAAAUUCCAAGCAAUUAUUUUCACAACAAUCGUGCCCUAUAGAGGGCUUGAAAUACAAUAAUUGCAUUAUGUUUUUAAAUUAUGUAAUAUGUAAUAGUUGUUCCUCUAUGCUACUUUCCAUGGCAUGGGAGCAACCGAUCAAACAGCUACUUGCAGGCUGCAGCAGAGUUUACUUCAUAAUAUGAUUGUUUUAUCUUAGGAUUUCAUUAAUAGAAAAACAUCGUUGAAAUAACCAGUUUUUCAUAAACAUACUCCACUGAAGACGUAAUUUCAAAGAUAAAUAUGAUUGACAGCAAAUUAUGGUGAUCUCUCUAAGCCUCUAUGAGAUCAUCUGCAUUGAAAAAUUACUGUUCCAGCUAGAGAGAGUUUAGCUAGAGAAAGUUUUGGUCCCAAGAAAGUAGCUGUCCAACUUGAAAUGGCAAUAGUUAUAUAUCCAAAAAUAACCCACAUUCUGUACUUCACAUGUUACUCGAUCCACUAUAUCUUGAACUAACAUUCCAGCUCAAUAACCAGGGUUGCAUUUGCAAUACCCCCGUCGUUCCCUGAUUUGGCAAGGAAUAGUGAUGAGUUGUAAUCCAAGGACCCUGUGAUGAACAGUAUGAACUAUUAAUUUGACUCUUUAGAUAUGGUAAUCAUGAACUAAUAUGUUAUAAUAAGAUGAUAAUAGUAUUCAGAGUAAAUAAUUCUAGGUCAGCUUUUAAGUAAUUUCUAAAGUGAUUUAGGAAUAAUAUUUGUGCUAAUUAAGGUAUUAUUUGAACUAAUGUUUGACCUGGAGAAUUGUUUGGUUAAGAUUGUGGUUUCUGACUAUUGAUCUGAUAAGUUUAAUUGAGUGAGUUUUGUAUAUGCAUGUGUUAAUUGAUUACAAGUGGAGCACAAGGGCGAGCAGGAAGGAGGACGACAGAGGAAGGGCGACCAGGAAGAACAAGGCAUGAAGGCAGCUGACAAAGGAUCGCCCAUUUUUGGCUUUUCACCUGCCAAUCGCAUAGCUUGAAGUUUCUAAAAGUCCUUUGUUAAAUUUUCUUGGAAGGCGAGUGCAGAUCCUAGAAUCGCACACACCAUAUGACUGGAUAAGAUGAUUUUAAAAGAGAGAUCAUUAAAUUUUGUUUGGGGAGUGAGGUUUGGGGGAUCUAAGUAGCUGCGCGCAUGAUAAAUACAGAACGUGUAAAUUGUGGAUGCCCAUGUUUACAACUGUCAACUGCAUGUUUACAUUGUGUUGAUGUUAUGACCUUUUCAUUGAGAAUAUUGAAACAAUAAUAAUUUUAUAUAUUUAAGUUUUCUAUUAUUGUC